UGCGGAAAUGGGCUUCUGUAGUUGUGUGAAUGCAUCAUUCCAGCCAAUCCAACCAAUCAGGUGUAGAGACCAUGGUGACUGGCUCCGCCCCCUUACUGUCAAAAACAGCGAGCGCGCAGAAAACACCUUCUCGAGUAUGUUGUUUUUCACAUGAACGCAACUUUUGACCUGGGUUUGGCUCCAUGCUCGAGCGCUCAAAUUCUGGUUUUGCAAGCGAGCAAAUAGCUCCCGCGAGGUGGACUUAUGCUCUCUCGAGACCGACUUUUGGUCGCGCGUGAUUUGCGCUCUCGGGUUUUGACAGUAAUUUGCCUUCGUAGUGUGGGUUGUUGUGAGUCCGUUUCGAUCCGCUUCUUCACUGCAUUGCCCACAAUCAUCGGUCCUUACAGGGUACAACGCUGCAGUUCGCCCAUCUGGCCGACAGGUGGCAGUGACGACUACACUUUGAAAAAAAAAGCUAAACUUUAAGUGAAAAAACAGAAGGGGAGAAGAAAGGGGAAAGGAAAGAAGCUAGCGGCGCAGAGGUGAACUUUAGCGUGCAGCUAGCUCACAACUUUACCAACUCUCUGCGGUCGGCCGCAGCUUCCUUUCAGCCCGGUUCAGUCAGAGGAAACGAGGGCGCGAACAGCUGACUGACUUCCCCUUGUUUCACGCCGCAUCUUUGUACCAUCAUCUCCUGCUUCAGGGUUCUCCUUUGGGAUCGAAACAUCCCGGUUCAUCUACUAGUUGCAGCCCAGAAAGCUGUACUCCUGGCCCUAAAGUAAAGUCACAAUGAUUUAUGCAACUUUACGAGUCCAUAAAUCAUCUUACAGAGGUCUCAUCUGCUACAGUGGGAAAUCUUUGCAUUUAAUAAUUAACUGUUUUGUUUUAUGAUCCAGUCUUGAACCCGCUUCGGAUAACAACUUCUUUCACCUUUCACAAUAAAGGCCCCAAUCACAGGCACC
ensembl:lncRNA